UACGUAGGUGGCAAGCGUUGUCCGGAUUUAUUGGGUUUAAAGGGUGCGUAGGCGGCCUUAUAAGUCAGUGCUGAAAUAUCCCGGCUUAACCGGGAGGGUGGCAUUGAUACUGUAGGGCUUGAGUGUAGUCGAGGUAGGCGGAAUUGACGGUGUAGCGGUGAAAUGCCUAGAUAUCGUCAAGAACACCGAUAGUGUAGACAGCUUACUAGGCUACAACUGACGCUGAGGCACGAAAGUGUGGGGAUCAAACAGG
rnacentral:rRNA from 1 species